GGCAACGUGGCUGAGUGGUUAAAGCGUAUGACUAGGAUCGAACUAGUUGGUCUAAGAUUCUAGUCCUCUUGUUGUCG